rnacentral:snRNA from 1 species
UUAGGUCAUUGAGAAGCA